CGCGAGCGAUGGCUCCCGCGGCAGCCUCAGUAGUUUUGUUCAAUUUACACGAGGCCGCCUCGCGAGGCAGGCUGAGCCAUCAUAAGUCCGCGAGUAUUCGUAAUGGACAGUCUUGUAUUUUCAGCUGCAGCUAUUUUCCUAGCUGCUUAUUGUUUAAAGAAACGAAAACAGUCACGUAUCAAGAAAAAACCUAGACGCUUCUGGAUUAGAAAAAUGUAUGAGCGUCGCCACCAAUAUGGAAAUAGAUUACUUGGAGAUUUAGUAUAUGAUCAGACUGUACAUAAUUUUACACGAAUGUCCGUACAAGAGUUCGAAAAUUUGUGCUCAUUGUUGUCUGAUAAAAUAAAAAAGUGCGAUACAAAAUAUAGAGAAGCAAUCACUGUGAAUGAACGAGUUUUAAUAACUUUAAGAUUUUUAGCAACCGGAGAUUCUUAUAGCAGGUUGCAAUAUUAUUUCGAGUAUCGAAGCAGAGUAUCUCAAGAAUAGUUCCAGAAGUUUGUGACGCUAUUAUUGAAGCCUUAAGUGAUUAUGUAAAGGUAUUUAGGAGGUACAUCUAGUACAUAUGUGGCUUUGGGCUUAUACUUCGCUAGAGGAGAAUUCACAAUUGCAACGAUUGUGGCUGAUACUACAAAAAAAAAAUAUGGGAUUCUUUAAAGAAUAGAUUUAUGCCAGUUCCAGACCAUGAUAAGUGGAAGCGAAUUGCUGAACGAUACUAUACUUUGUGGAAUAUGCCUAAUUGUCUAGGCUCGAUUGACGGAAAACAUUUUAAAAUAAAAAAAAUCCCAAAUACGGGAUCUACUAAUUUUAAUUACAAAAAUUAUCAUUCUGUAAUCUUAAUAGCAUGUGCCGAUGCUGAUGGUCUGUUUACAAUGAUAGAAGUGGGAUAUGCAGGUAGAAAUAGUGACGCAGGUAUUUUCAGAGUUUCAUCUAUGAAGCGCCUUAUUGAGGAAGAUGCACUAAAUAUUCCUGCACCAGGACAAUGGAUGAAAAUAAUUACUCAUUUCUAUUUUACUUUGUUAGAGAUGAAGCCUUUCCUUUGGAAAAAUAUUUAAUGAGACCUUUUCCAGGAAGAACUGCCACCAACAUCUCACGCAUCUUUAAUUAUAGAUUAUCCCGUGCUAGAAAAAGUGUCGAGUGUGCUUUUGGCAUGUUAACGGAAAAAAAUAUGAUAUUCGAAUCACCAAUACGUUGCCGAACCCCUGAGGUGGUCAAUAAAAAGUGCUUGUGUAUUGCACAAUUUUGUGAGAUCCAAGGAAGGAAUACCGUAUCGCACAACUAACGUCGGUGAAGGAAUUAGUCAACGCCCUGCUGAUCUAAUGCCACAUGAUCUGAACCUAGGCCCGAAUCCUUCUCCUUUAUCUUUAAGAAAAUAUUUAAAUAAUUACUUUUUGACAUCACAGGCAGCAUUGCCGUGGCAAUGGGCUUAUUGUGUGUAGAAUUAUUUUAUUAAAUAAAGAGAAUAAUCAGCUCUCA